UGAUGGGAACUGAAGAUAAAACACUGUUUUGUUUCUGUCAUUGGGGUAAGAAGAAUAAGGUGCUUCCAGAUGGAUCCACUACGUAUGUGGGAGGUAUUACCUGUCAGGUUAUUGCAAAAACAGGCAUAAAGUAUAAUGAUUUUGUGAAUGCAGUUUUUGAACGAUUAUGCAUUGAUCCUUCGGAUAAGAUCUUACAUUUUACUGUGAAGUUUGAUAGGUCCCAAUUGAUACAGCUGAGCGACCAAGAAGAUGUCAACACUCUAUUACAAUUUAAUGAUGGUUUUGCACCUGUUUAUGCAUCAAGUUUCGAGAUGGAGCCUUAUUCUAGACUCCCUUCAGUAGGUGCAAAAAAAAAUUGAACCUGUUGUUGUUCCUGAUGUAGAACCAGAUACUAAUCCUGUACGCGAUGAUGAGAAUGAUUUUGCAAUCUCUCUGAAGAAGGCAGAGUCUGACCAGUCAGCUGGAGACAGUAAACCUCAACAGAAAGAAGUUGUUGAUGCUGAUGAACAAAAUCAUGCUAGUGUAACUAUGUUAUGGAUAAAUUCAGUGAAAAGAUUAAAUCAAAAUGGAGCGGGCCUUUCUGAAGGGAAUGUGCAAAAUGAUUGUACUUCUAAUGUUGGGACAGUUAAUGAACAGGUUUCUAGAUCGCCAACAGGUGGUACGGAAAAAGUUGAACUUAUUGUUGAUUCUGAUUCAGAAUCAUAUACAAGUUCUGAUAGUGAUCCUCCUGAGAUCAUGUAUUACUAUCCUAAUACUGAAUUCAGUGAUUUUGACAAGCAUAAAACUGAAAAUUGCUUUGCAGUUGAUCAGAUCUGGGCUGUGUAUGAUACACUUGACUUUAUGCCAAGAUUCUAUGCCCACAUUAGGAAGGUAUCCGGUCCUGAAUUUAAGAUAAAGCUCAGAUGGCUCGAACCUCAUCCAGAAGAAGAUCAAAGGGUGGAGUGCGCAUGGAUCAGGGCAGACUUGCCUGUUGGCUGUGGUAAAUUUAGAGUUGGGAAUACUUAUUAUACUAAUGAUGGCCUUAUUUUUUUCUCAUCAAGUGCAGUGUGUGAUGGGAGCGAGAGGUAUGUACAUUGUAUAUCCUAGGAAAGGCGAGAUGUGGGCCCUUUUCAAAGAUUGGGAUAUUUGUUGGAGCUCUGAUCCAGAAAAUCAUAGGAACUACAAGUAUGAAAUUGUGGAGAUUCUUUCUGAUUAUGUUGGGGAUAUUGGUAUUCAAGUUGGUUACCUAGAUAAAAUGACCGAAUUUCUGAGCCUUUUCCAGAGAACAAAGCGAACUGAAGUUGGUAUAUUCUUUGUAAGGCCAAAAGAAAUUUACAAGUUCUCUCAUCAAAUUCCCUCUUUCAAAAUGACUGGAACUGAACGAGAGGGUGUACCUAGUGGAUCAUUUGAACUUGAUCCAGCCUCUUUACCCCUCAGUUAAUUCAGAUGAUAGUUGGUACCCAGGGAAUGUUAAGGAAGAUCACAGGACUACAAAUUCUGAACCUGUAGAAAAUGUUUUAUCUGCAGUUUCCACUGGAACUAGUGGUAAGUCUGAUAAUGCGAAGACAUCUCUGAAGUCAGGGGACUUGGAAGACAAUAUCCAUGACGAGUCUUGUAUGUUCAUUGACUUGGAGCUGAAACUAUGGUCUGACGGGACUCAAAAAUGAGAAAUUUUCCUUUGUCAGUUUAUGCUCCAUUAACACAUUGUUCAUAUCAGUUUAUUGCUAGAAGAUUAAGCUAGACGUUAACGUAGCUAUAGGGAGGGUAACAAGGCAGCAGACGCAGUAGUACACAUGAAUCUAUAGUUUUUGAAAGAAGUUGUGUAUUAUGAUACCCCUCUCCCUUUUGUACACCCAAAACUAUCAGAGGAAUGAAUUUCGUGUUUGCACCAGCAGCUAUUAUCAUAAUUUUUUCCUAUGUUGCAAGUCUGGUGAAUGAAUCUGUUCCCCAGAUGGAUGCUCAAAGCCUGGAACAUGUCAUGAGGAUAUUAUAAACUGAUAAAAUGUUCUUUUAUAAGGCAUAUGUCUUGGCAAUCUAAAUUUGAGAGGCUUAUUUAAGUCAAGUAAAGGUGUGUUUUAAAUUGUUGAUAGUUUGGGGAUGAAACUUUAGGACCCGUUUGACCAUAGAUUUCUCAAGUAAAAUUUGGGGAAAAAAUUAGCAAAUAGCGUUUGUCCAUAUAAGGUGUGUUUGGUAUGAAGGAAAACAUUUUCCAAAAAAUGUUUUCCAAUUUUCUUAUGUUUGGUUGGGUUAAAUAUUUUGGAAAAUAUUUCCAAAUCAACUCAUUUUCCUAAAUUUAAGGAAAAUGACUUUUCUUCAAGACUUAAGGAAAACAUUUUCCAAAACACUCAUCCAACUUCAAAUUACAAUUUAUUUUGUCCCUACCCUUAAACCACCCCCACCCCACCCCCAAAAAAAUAAUACAAAAUUAAAGCUUGUUUUUAAAAAAUGUUUUUAACUUCAAUUUUUCUAUCCCACGCUCAUCCCUACACGUAGCCCCCUACCACGACCCUCCUCCAAAAAAAAUAUUAAAAGUUGUUUUUAAAAGAUAUUUCUAAUUUCAAUUUUUAAUUUACCCCUCCCCCCNNNNNNNNNNNNNNNNNNNNNNNNNNNNNNNNNNNNNNNNNNNNNNNNNNNNNNNNNNNNNNNNNNNNNNNNNNNNNNNNNNNNNNNNNNNNNNNNNNNNNNNNNNNNNNNNNNNNNNNNNNNNNNNNNNNNNNNNNNNNNNNNNNNNNNNNNNNNNNNNNNNNNNNNNNNNNNNNNNNNNNNNNNNNNNNNNNNNNNNNNNNNNNNNNNNNNNNNNNNNNNNNNNNNNNNNNNNNNNNNNNNNNNNNNNNNNNNNNNNNNNNNNNNNNNNNNNNNNNNNNNNNNNNNNNNNNNNNNNNNNNNNNNNNNNNNNNNNNNNNNNNNNNNNNNAAUCAACUCAUUUUCCUCAAAUUUAAGGAAAAUGACUUUCCUUAAAAAAUUAAGGAAAACAUUUUCAAAACUCUACUCCAACUUCAAAUUACAAUUUUUUUUUGAAAAAAUAAAUUUAAAGCUUAAUUUUUAAAAAAUAUUUUCAACUUCAAAUUUUUAUUUUUUCACCCCUACCCUCGACCCCCCCUCCCCCCAAAAAAAAAUUUAAGUUUGUUUUUAAAAAAUAUAUUCAAUUUCAAUAAUUAUUUUCUACUUUAGUAAAAAUAAAAGAUAUUUCUCAAAAAACAUUUUUCAUUCAUAAAUCAAAACACUAAAAAAUCUUUUUUUUAAAAAUGUUUUCUAUUCACCAAUCAAACAUGAGAAAAUAAAUCAAAAAUCGACUUGUUUUCCAGGAAAACAUUUUCCUUCAUACCAAACACACCCAUAAUUUGUUAUUAUUUGGCAAAUGUUUGUUGAAAAUAACCCAAAUUCCCAAAUACUAGAAAAAACUAGUAUUUGGGCAAGUCUCAUUAUUUGAGCUUUUAAUAAUUCAAAUUCUACACCAAUUUUUUAUCUUUUACAAGAACACUCUCUAUAAUACUUGUUUGUGUUGUUUUACAUAAUAUUUUACGUGAACAUCAAAGUAGUGAUGCAGUAUUUAGUGAAUAUGAAAGUGAUGAUAUGAUUAUUGAUGAAAAUGAUGAACAAUCGGUUUAUGAUAACAAAGCCAUGUGCCAUAUAAUACAAACAUAUGGUUAGUUUUGAUAGUUUUAAAACUUAUGAGUAUAAAUCUUUUUUUUUUAAAAGGUGAAAUAUAUUUUCCAAAUUCUAUGGCCAAACAUAUGGUGAAAUUUCACCCAACUUUCACCCAAAUAAUAUAUACCAAAAAUAUUUAAAAAUAUAUGAUCAAAUGAUAGCUAAUAAUUUACACCAAAUUUAAGGAUGUUUUCAAUACUUCUCUCAACCCAAGUAUUUAAGUCUUAAGUUAAUUAACAACCCACCUCCAUAAUAAUAAUAAUAAUAAUAAUAAUCAUAUUAAAUAAAGUAGUAAAGAGAGAAGAAAAGCGGCUUUGGAAAAAAGAAGAGGCGGCGGUCAGUAGAGAAUAAAAACAACGCUAUUGGCUCUGUAUUAUUUAAGUAGAAGAAAAAAACUAAAGCUAGAGAGAGAGGUGAUACACAAAAGAGAUACGAAAACAACAAUAUAUUUUGUGAAAUUCCACAAGUGAGGUCUGAGUAAGGUAGAACUUACGCGGACUUUAGAGGCGGACUCACAUGCACCUGAUAACUUUUAAUUUUUUUGAUAUAUAUAUGUAUAGAUAGUCUAUAAAAUGAUAGUAUAUUUAAUUGUGCAUCCUUAUAAUCAAAAGUCAUUUGUGAGCACUGGUUGAACCCUCCGCUUUAAAAUGCGACAACAUGGGUUUGAAUCGUGCAAAAGGUAGUAUUUUUUGGCCGCCUUUAAAAUUAGAUUUUUCUUAAAAAUUAACCUUUUUAACAAUUGUCUUUAUUAACCACUUGUUUUUGCCACCUCAUUUGGCCCCACCCUUAACCUUACCUUGAGUCACUCUUAGUGGUGCCCCGAUCUUCAAAUCAUGGGUUUGUCUCUGACAGACUUAGAAAACAAUGCAAAAAUAGUCAAAACAGCAGAAAAAUCAAGUGGUAAUCAAAAUGCCAUAAACAAUAUAAUGUGGUAGAUUAUUAUUAACAAACAUUAAUAAACCAUGAUUUAAAAAAAACUAUAAUAAAACAACUACUUACUACCCUUCUACGAGUCCUCCACACCUUCCUAUCUAGGAUCAUGUCCUCAAUAACCUGAAGUUUUCCUUAUAUGUCCAAAUCAUCUCUUUCCUCAUGUUUUCAACCACGAAGGCCACCCACACCUUACAAAAGAGAGAGAAGGAAAGAAAAAAAGAAAGAGAAGAGGAAGAGUGGAGAGAGGAGUGAAGAUAACUAUUUUACUCUUUUUUUUUUCGAUAUAUUAAUCAGCAAUGAUUAUGCUUUAGGGUUUAGAAUAAAAACGAUUACAUUUUGCAUAUCAAGGACCAUUACCGUACAAACCUCAUUGACUUAAAAGAAUUGAGCUUGGUCCAUUUAAAAUAAGUAACAUUUAAACUCCUAACUAAUUACCCACUAACUACUUAUGUAUUAAGUUAACAACCCACUUCCAUAAUAAUAAUAGUCAGUUGUAGUAAAGAAAAGGAAAGCAGCUUUGGAAAAAAGAGGAGGAGGCAGUCAGUAGAGUAUAAAAACAACGCUGCUGGCUCCAAAGUCCAAACCAAACAAAAGAGUGGAGGGCAGAACCGUUGGAAGCAAAUUAGAGUUAUUUAGCAAAGGUAUUGUGAGUCAUAAUUUCUCCAUAGUUGAUUUUCAAUUAUAGCAUGUUUUAGAUUUGUCUUUCGCAUUGAAAUGAUUUAUCAACAAAUUAUAGUAUGAUCGAAUAUUUGAAAAUGUACUGAAUCAAUUUUGCCAUGACAGUACUCUUGAAGUUAUGCUAUUAUUGAGUUAUUAUACACUGUUGGAUUCGAAUUUGACACAAGAAGAAUAUGAAUAUAUGUGGUAUUAUGAAUAACUAACUAUUCAGGAAAAAACUAACUUCUCAUUGGAUACUCUCUUAGCCUUAAUACGUUGGUGUUGUAGUAGGUUGUGUUGUUGUUUAUUGAAUGCUGAUAGGUUUAGAUUUAUGGUUUGCUCCCGGUACAGAGGAAACUCUACCAAAUUUUUUAGCCUGAAAUCGCGGUAGGCUUAGGCAUACUGAGCACCGGUCAUGGCCUAAGUGGAUUGAGUCGUGACAAUUAAGGACCAUUUUGUUCAUUUUUCUCAAUUUUUUUGUAUAGAGUUUCCUCUGAACCCAUUUUGAAGAUUUUCUGAUUUUUGGUUAAAGUUUGAAACUUUCUGAGGAUUAUGUGUUGACUUAGAUGAAAUCUAAUCAGAGUAUUUACUUUCAAGGAAAAUGCGCUUUUAAUCUGUUAUUUGGAGAUGCGCUCAUCCUUUUGUUUCCUUUCUAAUGGAUUAUUAUUUUUGUACAUUCAGCCUUGAUAUGUAACUCCCCUUUAGAUUUAUUUUUUCUUGAUCAGGUUUUUGAGUUUUUGAGAUUGUUACUCUUCUCAGACAAAGAGACAAAAGGUUUUGUAGAUUGUUACUAUUUGAACCUCUGUGUUUGUGUACACUACUUCAUGAUGGGAACUGAAGAUAAAAUGCUGCUUUGUUUCUGUCACUGGGGCAGAAGGACAAAGAUGCUUCCAGAUGGAUCCAUUUCGUAUGGGGGAGGUAUUACUGAUCAGUUUAUUGUGAAAAGAAGCAUAAACUACAAUGAUUUUGUGAAGACAGUUUUUGAUCGAUUAGGCAUUGAUCCUUCCGAUAAGAUGUUGCAUUUUACAGUGAAUCUUGAUAGGUCUGAACUGAUACGGCUGAGGGAUCAAGAAGGUGUCGAUACCCUGUUACAAUGUAAUGAUGGUUUUGCUCAUGUUUAUGUGUCAAGUUUGCAGGAGGAGCCUUAUUCUAUACUGCCAUCAGGUGGUGCGAAAAAAGUAGAACUUGAUGUUGUAUCUGAUUCUGGACGAGAUACAACUCCUGCAGGUGAUGAUUUGGAAAGCUCGCUGGAGAAGGCACGGUUCCAGUCAGCUGGAGAUAGUAGUAAACCUCUGAAGAAAGCAAUGGCAAACCAGUUAGCUGGAGGCAGUGAACCUCAGCAGAAAGAAGCUGUUGGUGCUGGUGAUCAAAAGCUUGCUGGUGUAACUAGGUCGCGCAGUACUUCAAAAUCAAAUAUAAUUUCUGAUAAAGACAAUUCAGAUUUCCUUCAGUGUCGUCAUCCUGAAUUCAGUGACUUUUUCAAGCAUAAAGCUGAAAAUUGCUUUGCAGCUGACCAGAUAUGGGCUGUCUAUGAUGAUGUGCACGAUGCUAUGCCAAGAAAAUAUGUCCGCAUCAGGAAGGUAUUUGGUACUGAAUUUAAGAUCAGGUUCAGAUGGCUCGAGCCUCGUCCAGAAGAAGACCAAAGGGAGUGUGCUUGGGUCAAGUCAGGCUGUGGGAAGUUCAUUAGUGGGGAUAGUCAUUUUACUUUUGAUCGAUUUUUUUUUUCUCAUCAAAUGCAUUGUGAAAAGGGGACGAGUGAUAUGUACAUUUUAUAUCCUAGGAAAGGGGAAACAUGGGCGCUCUUCAAAGCUCGGGAUAUUCUUUGGAGUCCACAGAGUCAUAGUGAACAUAAGUAUGAAGUUGUGGAGAUCCUUUCUGAUUAUGUUAAGAAUGCUGGUGUCAAAGUUGGUUACUUAGAUAAAGUUACUGGAUUUGCUGGUGUUUUCCAGAGAACAAAGCUGUCUGUAGCUGGUUCGUUCUUUAUAAAGCCAAAUGAACUUUACAAGUUCUCUCAUCGAAUUCUUUCUUUCAAGAUGAUCGGAACUGAAGGAACGGGUGUACCUGCGGGGUCGUUUGAACUUGAUACUGCUUCUUUACCCCUUGAUCCAAAUGAUAUUUGGUAUCCUGAAAAAGUCAAGGAAAGAUCAGGACUUGCAAAAUCUGAACCUGUAGAAAAUGUUUUGUCAGCAGUUACCCCUGUAACUAGAGGUAAAUCCAGGACAUCCAAGCAUGCAACAACGCCUCCCAAGUCUGAGACUGGGAGCUCGAAACGCGUCCUUUGAGUCCACUCUGCACAUUGACAUGGAUGGAACUGAAAUUUUCUGUCAUUAGUUGCUCGAUUAAUGGACUUCGUGACUUGGGUGAUGAUGAUUGCAGUAGCUGCAAUAACGGUUAUUAUGUUUCAUUUGAUUUCAGUAGCUCGAAUUAUGAUUUCCGAAUUAAAGUGUCUCUUGUGUUUUAUAACUUAAAAAGAAAAAGGAAAAAAGAAGCUGAAAGACACCAGUAAUGCUUUUUAUCUUUUCUAAAACUCUUCUGUAAAAUUGACGUAAUGGCAUAAGGAUUUGAGUUAUAGCUUAAAAUCUUUCUAAGUUUCACUUGCAUUCUAACUGUUAAUUAAUGCAAUGGAGGCUAUUAUGUUUAACAAAGCUGAAAAGGAUAUAACAGCCAACUUGAUUAAAUUUAAUACUCAUAGUCCAAAAUAAGUGAAUUGUUCAAAAUUCAAGAGAAUUAUUGAGACUUUUUUUAAAUUUCCAAAGGGUCAUAGUGGAAAGUAACACUUUAUUUAUGUCCUUAAAUAUUUUUCUCAAAAAGGUGUGCCAUAAAACACCCGUCAAAAUUUAUGACAAUUAUUUUUUUCUCAUUUUAUCUUUAAUACUAGUAAUUAUUUUUGAAAAUUACAAACACCCUCACAAAAGUAAAUAUACUCUUUUUUAGUCUAUAGUAAGUGAAAUUGUUGGGGCAUGUAGGGGUGUCAAAUGAGCAGGUUAUGUUGAAAUUAUAGAUAUUAAAAUGGGUUGAAAUAGAAAUCGGGUUGGAUCAUGUCCGCCUAAAUUUUACUUUGGGCUAAAAAACGGAUUGGGUCAUGAUCCACAAUUUGUAUUUCACCUCAAAUUUAAAAAAAAGUUAAAUGAAUAGAUAAAUUUUAGAAGAUAUAAAAUAUAUAAUAAUUUAUAUCUUUAAUAUAGGAACGAAUGCAAAUAAAGAGUCUUAAAACGGAUUACAAUUGAAGAUUUAAUUGGGCUCAAUUGAAAAUUCUUUUGAAAUUGGUUAAAAUUUGAAAGAGUUGAGAUUAAACUCAAUUCAAAUUAUCUUGAGUCUAACCCAUAAAACUUUAGACGGAUUACUUAUGUUUGGACUCAUUUUUGACGCCCAAGAGACAUGACACAUACUUUAAAAACAUAUACUCCUUUAAAAACAUAAAUCAAAUGCCCCUUCGAUUAUUCACACGAAAUUAACUCUCUCAUUACUGACUCUGUUCAUUUUUACUUGUCUACAUAACUAUAAUAUUUUGAGAUGUCUAACUAUAUAUUUUUUAUUUACAAAAUUAAUGAAUAUUUUAUUAUUUUGUGUCUAUAUUAUCCCAAUUAUUAAAUACUAUUUAUUUUAUUAUUAUUAUUUAGAAGACUUAUAUUUUACCAAAUUACCUUUAUCAUUUAUUGUUUCUUAAUCAUAUGUCAUAAUAGGCCGAACGGAAUAUUCAUUUUAAAAGAUUGGGGGAUUAUAACCAUCUUCAUUUGAGCUUUAUGCUAAAAUAGACACGCAAAACUUCCUUUCCCACAGUCGUACGUAGCAAAACCCGAAAAACCCUGGCACCUACUUGCUGUCAAUUCCAACAAAAAAUUAAACAAGAAGAGCAGAAAUGGAUGUUAAUGGGUCAGCAAUGGAGGUCGAUGUUGUCAAUGUUAGUCCUUGUUUAGCCAGCUUUGUUGAUGAUGGUACUGUUGAGAGUCACAGGUACUUUCUUGCACGCAAAACUAUGCUCGAAAUGCUGAAAGAUCGUGGUUUUGCAAUACCCAAUUCUGAAAUCGACACCACCCUUCAAGAAUUCAGAGAGAAAUAUGGUCAAAGACCUGAUGCUGAGCGCCUCAGAAUCUCCGCCAUGCACAGAACUGACCUUACCAAUAAGGCUAGUUACCCCUCUUUCCUUUCUUGAAUCGCCUGUUUUUAGCUUCUUGUAGUGAUAAUUUCUCUAAAGUUUCAAUCUUUUGCCUCGUUAAAGAAAGUAUGAAGGAACUCCGAGUCCUUUCCUUUCGUUAGUGAGUGAAAUUUGGGGAAUGAGCGAAAAAGAUUCAAGUAUCUUAGGUGAUGUCACACAUCAUAUUGGUGUAGUGUGGAUAGCCUUGUAUCCGGAGUAUUGUGCGAUAAGAAGUUACCAUCAAAAUUUAAAGGUAUGUUCUAUAGAGAGUGGUGGUUAGACUGGCUUUGUUGUACAAGGCUGUGUUGUUGGCCCAUCAAGAACUCCUAUGUUGAGAAGAUGCAAAUAGAAAUGAUGAUGAUGAGAGAUGGAUGUGUGGACAUACUAAGAGCGAUAAGAUUAGUAAUGAGGAUAUCCGGGACAAAGUGGGAGUGGCCUCUGUGGUGGACAAGAUGAGGGAAGAGAGACUUAUAUGAUUUGAGCAUGUAAAGAGGAGAUGUGCCUAUGCCCUAGUGAAAAGGCGUGAGAGUUUGGAUAUAGUGGGGAUAAGGAGAUGCAGACGUAGGCCGUAGAAGUAUUGGGGAGAGGUGAAUAGACAAGAUAUGAUGCAUCUUCAGCUUAUUGAAGAGAUGACCAUAGAUAGGAGGGUGUAGAGGUUGCAGAUAAGUGUAGAAGAUUAGUAAAUAGUCGAGUGUUGCCGUAGAAGUAUCCUAUUCAUGUAGUCUGUGGCGUGGUGGUAGUCUAGAGCACCGUAUCUGUCAUAGUAUUAGCCUAUUCAUGUAGUCUUUGGCUUUUGGUAUCUGAUAUCAUCUGUUGUUUAUCAUGUUUAGGUGAUCUCACCUUGUUGUUGAUAUUAUGGUUCCUUGCUCCGCACUCUUUCCUAUUAGUUGUCAUGUUUUUCUUCGCUGUUUUUUUCUUCUUUGACUUGCUUCACUUGAGUACACUCUACCCUCCCAAGACCCCACUUUCGGAAACAACCUCAGGUCUGCGUACACUCUACCCUCCCCAAGACCCCCGCUUUCGGAAACAACCUCAGGUCUGCGUACACUCUACCCUCCCCAAGACCCCCGCUUUCGGAAACAACCUCAGGUCUGCGUACACUCUACCCUCCCCAAGACCCCCGCUUUCGGAAACAACCUCAGGUCUGCGUACACUCUACCCUCCCCAAGACCCCCGCUUUCGGAAACAACCUCAGGUCUGCGUACACUCUACCCUCCCCAAGACCCCCGCUUUCGGAAACAACCUCAGGUCUGCGUACACUCUACCCUCCCCAAGACCCCCGCUUUCGGAAACAACCUCAGGUCUGCGUACACUCUACCCUCCCCAAGACCCCCGCUUUCGGAAACAACCUCAGGUCUGCGUACACUCUACCCUCCCCAAGACCCCCGCUUUCGGAAACAACCUCAGGUCUGCGUACACUCUACCCUCUCAAGACCUCACUUUGUGGGAUUCCAUUGGGUAUGUUGUUGUUAAUAAGAAAAUUAUUUACCUGAUCAAAAAAAAAAAUUCAUCUCUUAGCUCCAUAUCCGAAUUUCUACCUUUGGGGUUCAUAUAUCUUCAAAUUUCUUGUUGAUUUUGUUAGAAGUGCAUCAAUCCUGUUAUGUCUGAUGGGAAUGUGUUCUAUGCUUCAUAAGUCUUCCUAUGGAAAUUGGAGGCUCGGCUGAGUUCAAUAAAACAAAAUUAAGAAGCCAAGAAAGUUGUUGCAUUAACUGGUUAGAAUCCUCAGCAUAUUGGAAGAUGGUCUCUGAUGAAGACGGACUAUCAACAUUACAUUCACGUGCUUCAUAGAUUUACUAAUGUCUUGCAUAUUUGAACUUGUCACAGGUUUUGGUCAUCUUCUGUGGGCCAAAUUCGGUGAAAAUGAAUGUCAUCCGCAGUAUUUUAUCUCAAAUAAUGAACAAAGAAUCCUUGAGUCGGCUGAUAUUAAUCAUUGAAAAUCCAAUGACUAAUCCAGCUAUGAAGGUUGUGGAGGACUCCCCAUUCAAAACUGAAAUUUUCCAGGUAAAGUAUGUGUUCUUGUUGGUGUUUUUGGUGUGAACAGUUCUAUUGCGAGGAAUAAACAUGGUACUAAUUAGGCUAUUAUUAAUAUGUGUUCUGCAUUUGCUUUAGAAUUUAGAUAUGCUUGGCUAGUGAGUUAGAUCUCAGAAUGAAUAAGGAUUUGUCAUUAUUGACAUUUACCUAAGACUGUACAAAUAGGUGUAUGUUAAAAAAAGUUUCUCUUUAAUGAAUAAAACAUACAACACGUAAAGCGUUUCUGGUUUUCUGCGAACCUCCAGAUCUUUCUACUGCUUACCUGUGAAAUAAGGAAAAAACUGAAAUGUUCUUCCCAAGUCUGGCUUAAAAGGAGCUACAUUUACUUGGUUAUUGGCUCCCCCUUAAUUAAUCUUUUGCCAAGACAAGUCCCAAGCUCCCUUUUUUUUUUUUUUAUAACAAGUCCCAAGCUCCAUUUUUUCCAUUUGAUGAAGGUUUGGUGGUAUUUGGCCAAAGUUUAUUUUACAUUUGCUAAGUGUCUGGCUCCUAUUUGUAAACUCUUUCAGAUCACAGACUUACUUGUCAACAUCACAAAACAUGUUUUAAAGCCAAAGCAUGAGUUGUUGACCAACACAGAGAAGGAGCAGCUAUUGAAGAAGUACAACUUGGAAGACAAGCAGGUUUGCCUUUGACAGCCUUUGAAUUUGCUGAAACAUGUCUGUAUAUCUGUACAACUGUGCAUCUCCUUAGUCUAUCUGUACAGCGGCAAGUCUUUUAGAGUAAACUCAUCAGAAAAAACGAUUGAUCAAUUUUUAUCUGGCUUAACUCUACUGUCUUAGAAUCAAGCUUUAGUACUUGCUGCCAUCUAGGCUUCACAUUUAAGAAAAUUUUGUCAUUUUUGCUCCCUUUACUGUGAAGGUGAAAUGACUCAAAUGCUGUUCUAAAGUUUUUAGUUUAGGUACUUAUAGACUGCUGCCUUUUUUAAUGAAUGGGAGGUAGAACUUGCCCUGUCUCUCACACACUACUUAUCAGACAUUAAUAUCUACGACCUUAGGUGUAGAGACAUAUUUCUGCCUUCAUCUUAUGCAGACUAAUGGUAUUGUUACUGUGCAUUCUCUCUAAUGAUCUCAGCAGAAAUUCGUAGUUCAUAUGCCUAUAUAUGCACUUCAAUUGACCACUCUUUCUUCGAAAACUAUCAAUACAGUUUCAUUUAUCUAAGUUUUUCUGAGUAUUGUUCUUGUAUUGAUAUUUUCCAGCUACCACGAAUGUCUCAGAAGGAUGCAAUUGCUCGGUACUAUGGAUUGGAGAAGGGGCAAGUUGUGAAGGUCACAUACAACAAUGAGAUCAUUGAGACACAUGUUACUUAUCGAUGUGUCUGGUGAUGCGACUAUGUAAAUCCUAUGUAGCAGUGUUGUUCUGUCGUACGUUGAGCGAGUCUGCAGUAGCCUAAAGGAAGAACUUGUAGUAGUAAUAUGUCAAGUACACUAUCAUUGUUGCUAUGUAUUUUGUUGUAUAUCCAGAUUGCCUUAACUUCAUACUUUUGUGCUAGUAGGGGUGAUGGUGGCUACUCUAAUUAGCAAAAUUUGACCAUGUUGCUAUGCUAAUCGGAGUUUAAUAGCUAUACUUAACUUUUACAUUUAUCUAUCUUCACUAACUUAUAUAUUAGGGAAGAGUUGAACUUCAAUACGCUCCCAGUGAAAGAAUAUUUUUGACACAGAUCAUUGAAUAGGUAAUUAUGGAUAACUUGAACAAGAUUUUGUCUUAACUUAUGACAGGAAAUUAAAGUUCUGCAUGCCUUUAUUAUAUAAGCAAAGCAAAAUUUCAUAAUUUAAAAUUAUAUUAAAGUUAUAAAUAAUAACAUUUCAUAUUUUAAAAUACUAAAUAUAUAUAGUAAUAAAAGAAAUUGUAUCGUUGUUGUUGUAUUAAUAAAAUUUCAAAAUCAGAGGAUCUACUUUUUCAAAAACAUUAAAAUAGUUUAGUACAUGUACAAAUAUUAUCUGCCCGCCAAUGAGAAGUCAACAGAAACGAUUCAACUCUUCUCAUAUUUUUAUGUAAAGAAAAAGUUUCAGCAUUUAAAUUGAGAGAGAUUUUCCAAAUAUCCCAGUAAAUGGUGAAGCCCUAGCUGAGAAAUUCGUCACUGCAACCUUUGGGGUUUUAGUAGAGAAACCCCAUUUGGUUCAAGUUCAACCACCUGCAGUUCCAACUUGCAAGGUAACUUUUUUUCCCUUUUCUCUAUUCACUAUUCACAAUAUUUUAUAGUGUAUAAUAUGAGUAUGUAGACUUACAGAGGAACAAAGGCAUCAUGCAGGUGUUUACUAGUCUAUUAAGAUGUUUCUGGAGUAGUAAAUUAGAAAGUGGAAAGGGUGACGCUUGGUGCUCUUUUUCUCCUGCAUAUUUUUGUGGAAAGAAAUUGGUUCAACUUUAUUUAGAAAUAUUUUUUAUCCUUGCUUCAAGUUUCAAAACUUUUUGCUUUACUGGGGUUUCUGUUUUGAUCCUUUCGCAUUUGACGGUAAUCUAUUGCUUAGUAUGCUUUCCGUCUUUGCUAAUUUCAUGUUUCAUAGCAAACUAUCUAAUAUUCACAGAAGAUUCUGUAGAGUUCUCUUUGAAUCCAUAUUUGAAAUUUUCUUAUUCAUGUGUAGAGUUUGAUACUUUUUGUUUCCUUGACAUCCUAUUUCAUUUGGUGAAAUCCUAUGUCUUGUGUGGUCUGUUCAGUUUUAUGUUUUUAUGAUGACAUGACGAUUGACGGGUAUCAGAGACUAUUCUACUAGAGAUUACCGGCAUGGUCAUGCAUAGAUGAUGUUUUUUUCUUCCUACCGCAGAGACAAGAGUCUGGGAUUUGAAGCUCAUGAGUUCGAGAUUCUAGCUCUUUUAAGUUAGUGGGUUUUAAAUUAAUUCCUCCGUCCUAAUCUAUGUGAAGGUGUUUGACUGGGCAUGUAGUUUAAGAUUGAAAGGAAUAAUGUUGAAACUUGUGGUCUAAACUAAGUCAUAAUAUAUGUGUGGUUAUAAAUUUAAGAAUAUAAUGAGGAGUUUAAAGUUAAAUUAUUACUAAAUAUAAAAAUGUGUAAUUCUUUUUGGAACGGACUAAAAAAGAAAGAUUGCACAUAUAUUGGCAUGGAGGGAGUGAUAAUUCGUAAGUAUUCAACAAGCAAGGCUAUUGGGUUACUCUAGCUCCACCUUGUCCUACAGCCAAAAAAUUUAUUGACUGUCUGGUUUUUUAUUUCUAUCCUCUAAUUAGAAUUUAGUUAUAAUCCAAGAUCAUGAAGCUUGAGAUGUUUUUAUUUUAAAGAAAAAAAAUGCUUUUCUUGAGAUACUUCUUAUUUGUAUAAUUACUUUAGUACAUUCAACUAUAAAUUUAUCUUUUUUUCUUGAUUAGGUUUUUAAUUUCAAGAUUGUUCCUCUUCUCAGGGAAAAAGGAAGAAUUUUUUCAAAGAUUGUUACUGUUUGAACCUCUGUGGUCACUUACACUACUUCAUGAUAGGAGCUGAAAAUAAAACACUGCUUUGUUUCUGUCACUGGGGCAGGAAGAAUAAGGUGCUACCAGAUGGAUCCAUUUCGUAUGGGGGAGGUAUUACUGAUCAGGUUAUUGUAAAGACAGGCAUAAAGUACAAUGAUUUUGUGAAUGCAGUUUUUGACCGAUUAGGCAUUGAUCCUUCAGGCAGGAUCUUGCAUUUUACAGUGAAGUUUGAUAGGUCCGACUUAGUACGGCUGAGGGACCAAAAAGGCAUUGAUACCCUGUUACAAUUUAAUGAUGGGUUUGCUCAUGUUUAUGUAUCAAGUUUGGAGGAGGAACCUAAUUCUAGACCGCCAUCAGGUCAUGUGGAAAAAGUUGUACUUGUUGGUUAUUCUGAUUCAGAAGCAGAUACAACUCCGGCAGGUGAUGAUGAGAAUGAAUUGGCAAACCCUCUGAAGAAGGCACGGCUCCAGUCAGCUGGAGAUAGUAAGCCUUUGAAGAAAGCAACGGCUAAUCAGUCAGCCAAAGCUGGAGACGGUAAACCUCAGCAGAAUGAAGCUGUUGGUGGUGAUAAUCAAAAGCAUGCCGGUGUAACUAGGUCAUGCAGUAAAUCGAUGGAAAUAUUAAAUCAAAAUGGAGUGGGCCUUCCUGAAGGGAAUGUGCAAAACAACAAUUCCAAGAUUAAGAUAGUUAACAAACAGGCUUCUUUACCGACAUCAGGCUGCGCAAAAAAAGUUAAAGUUGAACUCAUUGUUAAUUCUGAUUCAGGACCAAGUACAAUUCCUGAUAAUAAUCCUCCCAAGGUGUAUGAUUAUCCUGAUCCUGAAUUCCGUGAUUUUGACAAGCAUAAAUCAGAAAUUUACUUUGCAGCUGACCAGAUCUGGGCUUGCCAUGAUGCUGAUUUCAUGCCAAGAUUCUAUGCCCGCAUUAGAAAGGUAUCUAGUCCUGAAUUUAAGAUAAAGCUGAGAUGGCUUGAGGCUCAUCCAGAAGAUGAAAGGGAGCGCGCAUGGGUCAGGGCAGACUUGCCUGUUAGCUGUGGGAAAUUUAAACGUGGGAGCUCCAAAUAUACUUCUGAUCGACUUAUAUUUUCUCAUCAAAUGCAGUGUGAAAAGGACAAGAGAGGUCUGUAUAUUGUAUAUCCCAGAAAAGGGGAAACAUGGGCUCUUUUCAAGGAUUGGGAUAUUCGUUGGAGCUCCGAUCCUAAGAGUUACAGGAAGUACAAGUAUGAAAUUGUGGAAGUUCUUUCUGAUUUUGUUGGGGAUGCUGGAAUCCAAGUUGGUUACUUGGAAAAAGUGACUGGAUUUAUUAGCAUAUUUCAGCGAACAAGGCCGACUGUAGUUGGUGCAUUCUUUGUAAAGCCCAAAGAACUUUAUAAGUUCUCUCAUCGAAUUCCCUCUAAAAUGUCUGGAACUGAACGAGAGGAUGUACCCGUGGGAUCGUUUGAACUUGAUCCUGCUUCUUUACCCCUCAAUCCAAAUGAUAUUUGGUGCCCUGGGAAAUAGAACAAGAGCACAGGGCUGCAAAAUCUGCACUGGUAGAAGAUGUUCUAGCACACAUGAUUCUGUAGUUUUUGGAAGAAGUUGUGUAUUAUGGUACCCGGAUAGUCCCUAAGUUUUUGUCAAGACUCUUAUCUGUAGACAUACAGAUUCUCUGUCUUCUGCUUUGAUGCAGUGAAGGUGUUUUCUCCAUGUUAAUGAAGCUAUGUUUUAUUCAUAGGUCCCUUGACAAAACUUUAACUAAAAGGCUAAUCAGUUUAUCCUUAUGAAAAUAAAAACUAAAGAAAGAAAUUUAAAAGUAACCUUAUAAUUAUAUCAUUGAAGAUUAGAGAGUGUAAUUAUCUCCUCUCAAUUAUACUUACUAAUUAAGUAAUAAUUUGGCCAAAUAAGCAGAUCAAACUGUAUAAUUACAUACUGUUGUAUUCAAAUUCAAUUCUCAUUUGAGUUUUCAAGCCAGCCGGGGUCGUUUGGUAGAGUGUAUUAGAAAAAAUAAUGUAUGCAUCAGUUUUGUGUAUUAUUAGUACCUUGUUUGAUAUAAUUUUUUAAGUCGGUGUAUAAUUAAUGCUUGCAUUACUAAUAUACUUUAUUGUGUAUUGAGGUAUGUAUCAUGGAUUUCUAUGCAUUAGUAAUAUAAUGAGUUUCAAUGCAUUCAUUAUCAUGGUUAAAAACAUAAUUGUCUCUCAAAACUUUUUCCACAUCCUUUCCAUCAUAUUUGUAGAGGGUAUUUUUAUAAACAAAUAUAAAAAAAUUAUACAACGCAUAUUAUUUUUAAUAUAUUUGCUAAAUAUUGUAUAAGCAAAUUUUCAUCAUAAUUAAUGCAAGCAAAACUAAUACCAUUAACAUUACUAAUACACAAUAUUCUGUAUUAUUCUUGCACAUUCGGUCUUCUUAGGGCAUCUCCAACCUAAACACCAAAUUUUACAUCAAAUUUGGUGUCGGCACUAUUUUAAUGUAAAUCAACUUCAACCCACUGCACCAAAUGUUACACCGAAAUGGAAUAUUUUUCUCUCUUCAUUAUUAUAUUAUUAUUUCUUAUUUCAUAAAAUAAAUUCUUUUUAAAACAUUCACCAUAUAUUAUUCAUAUUAUUUUCUUUUAUAGUCGUUUAAUAUAAAAUUAUUUUAUACCAUAAUUUUUUAAAUAAUAUAAAUUGCUAGCAAAUAUUAGAUAUUAUACAUUAUAGUAGAAUUACCAUAAUUUUUUUUAAAAAAAAAGUCAUACAUAGAAAAAUUAAUUUAUAAAAAAAGCUAACUUUUAUAUCUAAAAUUAAUAUAUAAAAACAUUACAUAAAAAAUAAUUAAAAAUAUACAAGAAAUUUAAUUAAAACAUAUAAUUUAUAUAAUAUUUAAUUAAAAAUUUUGUAUAAUAAAAUAAUAUUAAAAUAUUCAAUAAAGUGAAUUGAUGUGAUGGUAUAACACUGUUCACACAUCAAAAUAGUAUAAAAUUUUAUAUUGAAUUGGAGCUCCAAAACACCAAAUUUUACACGAAAUAAGAAUUUGGUGUUUGGAUUGGAGUCUGGAGAUGAUCGUACACACACUAUCAAACGAAAAAACGGGUGGUUACUGGUUAGUCAAUGCAAUUUCAUUUUUGACAAAGCUUGAAAGGAUAAAACGGUCAACUUUACUAAAUCUUAUAUUCUUUCUUACCAAAAAGAAAAGGACUAAAUUUUAUAUAGUACGUGUCCAUUCCUCUUCUCUCCUCACUCUCUUUCUUACUAAUCAUGGAUCUUCUCUCCCUAAAAUCCACUGUUUUAGUCUCAAAAAAGCAUGGUAGGAACUACCUCCUUAGGUCAAAAUUUAACUAUCUGCAGCUUCAAGGUAACCCUUUUUAACCUACCCACAGAGUAUGUAAACUUGUAGUGAAACAAGGGGUACCAUAAUGAGAUGUUUAUGAAUAAUUGACUUAGAAUGUGAAAAGAGUGAAUCUUUACUACUCAAAAUCAGUUUGCAAUAAGUUGUUUGAGCUUUAAUUAGAAAGAUUGUGAUUCUUGCUACAAGUUUGAAACUUUUUGCUUUCCUGGGGGUUUCUGUUUUGAUCUUUUUUGCAUUUGAAUGAAAUUUUAUGGUUUAGUAUGAUUAUCUUAUUUGCUAAUUUCAUGCUUAACAAACUAAAAUAGCUAAUCUAACCACGAAAUUUGUCAUGUGACGACUUGUUCUUUGAGCUCAUUUUGGAAUUUUGUGAUUAAUUGAAGUUUGAAACUUUUGCUUUCUUGGGAUUACCUUAACUUGGUAUGCUUUCCUUAUUUGCUAAUUUCAAGUUUUACUGCAAAAAUAUUUAAUAGUAUCUAGUAGGUUCAUGAGGAUUUUUGCAUAGAGAUUUCUCUGAACCCAUUUUGAAAAUUUCUGAUUCUUGGUUUAAGUUUGAAACUUUAUGAUUUAUUGAGGAUUCUGUCUUGACACCCUAUUAUAUUAGAUGAAGAGGAUGUUUGGAUUAACUUAUUUGAAGUGUUUCGAGCUUUUAAGCACUUUUUUAUUUUAAUUUUGUGUGUUUGGAAAAGAUAAAAAGUGUUUUUAAGCACUUACCUUUAGGCUAAAAAGGUACAAAAAUAAGCUAAAAGCUAAAAGUUGGGUAUUUCCAGCUUAUAAGCUAUUUUUAAAAAGCCAAUCCAAACAUCCUCGAAAAUCUGGUAUCUUAUAAGGUCGUCAUAUGUUUAAUUUUCUGUUUUAUGAUGAUAUGACAGGGAUUAUUCUGCUUGAGAUAAAAUGUAUAGAUGGGUUACUUUUUUUGUUUUGCUGACUUACAUGUAGAUAAUGUUUUUCUUCCUACAGCCAAAAAUUGUGUUGAUUGGCUGGUUUUAGAUUCCUAUCUUUAUUUGGCUAUGUUCCAAGAUCAUGAAGGUUGAGAUAUAUUUACUUAACGGAAAAAAAUGUUUUUAAUCUUGUAUUUGGGGAUGCUUGGUUAAUGCUCAUAAUUUUGUGUCUUUCUUAUGGAUUAUUAUGUUAGUACAUUCAGCCUUGGUAAGUAACUCCCUUUAGAUUUAUUGUAUUUCUUGAUCAGGCUUUUAGUUUUCAAGAUUGUUACCCUUAUCAGAAGAAAAGAAGAAAGAUUUUCAGGAUUGUUACUGUUUGAACAUGUACACUAGUUCAUGAUGGAACCUGAAGAUAAAACACUAUUUUGUUUCUGUCAUUGGGGUAAGAAGAAUAAGGUGCUUCCAGAUGGAUCUGCUUCGUAUGUGGGAGGUAUUACCCGUCAGGUUAUUGCAAAAACAGGCAUAAAGUAUAAUGAUUUUGUGAAUGCAGUUUUUGACCGAUUAUGCAUUGAUCCUUCGGAUAAGAUCUUACAUUUUACUGUGAAGUUUGAUAGGUCCCAAUUGAUACAGCUGAGCGACCAAGAA
rnacentral:lncRNA from 1 species